rnacentral:rRNA from 1 species
AACGAACGCUGGCGGCAUGCCUAACACAUGCAAGUCGAACGAGACCUUCGGGCCUAGUGGCGCACGGGUGCGUAACGCGGGGGAACCUGCCCUUAGGUUCGGAAUAACUCCCCGAAAGGUGUGCUAAUACCGGAUAAUGUCUUCGGACCAAAGAUGUAUCGCCUUGGGAUGGGCCCUCGUUGGAUUAGCUAGUUGGUAGGGUAAAAGCCUACCAAGGCGACGAUCCAUAGCUGGUCUGAGAGGAUGAUCAGCCACACUGGGACUGAGACACGGCCCAGACUCCUACGGGAGGGAGGAGUGGGGAAUAUUGGAAAAUGGGCGAAAGCCUGAUCCAGCAAUGCCGCGUGAGUGAUGAAGGCCUUAGGGUUGUAAAGCUCUUUUAGCCGGGAUGAUAAUGACAGUACCGGGAGAAUAAGCACCGGCUAACUCCGUG